CCUGAUUGGGUCCGACACCCAGUGAGAAAAUUGUUGUUACACCAUUAUUUGCUAGCUAUUUCGAAGAUUCAUCAGCAACUUUAUCUGCAGUAUUGCUAAACCCUGAAGAACAGACUGCGGAAUACAGUGAUCAUAUGGAUCUUGAAACAGCAAACACUCAUUCCAAAAAUGAACCAGUUGAUGAAGUAAUAAGUCACUGGGUGUCGAUGACUGUUGAUCUUUACUUUCCACUUGCUUCCUGUUGCAUUUUAUUAAAUGACAUUGCAAUUUAUUUUUUGCAUCUUCUUUACUUGUUAUUAUAUCAGCAUUACACUUCACGUUGGGGACCCAAUCAGGGUGAGACUCAUCUUUGUUAGGAGUCCCUGCAACACCAAAUAACAACAUUAAACAUAUGUUAAAUUGUUGUAUAUGAAUUCUUUACUAACCAGUGAUAAAAUGUUCAUUACAAACCCUAGUAUCACUGUGAUCAGUUAUGGAAAUGCUAUUCUUUAGUUGCUUGAUCCACAACGAACGUCUUUUCUUCUGUAAUUGUUGUACUGAUUCUGUGUCUUUCUGUAUUACUUUUGGAAUACAAAAGAAAGAUACUCUGUU